rnacentral:rRNA from 1 species
CCUACGGGUGGCAGCAGUGGGGAAUAUUGGACAAUGGGGGCAACCCUGAUCCAGCCAUGCCGCGUGUGUGAAGAAGGCCCUCGGGUUGUAAAGCACUUUCAGUGAGGAAGAACGCCUGGUGGUUAAUACCCAUCAGGAAAGACAUCACUCACAGAAGAAGCACCGGCUAACUCCGUGCCAGCAGCCGCGGUAAUACGGAGGGUGCGAGCGUUAAUCGGAAUUACUGGGCGUAAAGCGCGCGUAGGUGGCUUGAUAAGCCGGUUGUGAAAGCCCCGGGCUCAACCUGGGAACGGCAUCCGGAACUGUCAAGCUAGGGUGCAGGAGAGGAAGGUAGAAUUCCCGGUGUAGCGGUGAAAUGCGUAGAGAUCGGGAGGAAUACCAGUGGCGAAGGCGGCCUUCUGGACUGACACUGACACUGAGGUGCGAAAGCGUGGGUAGCAAACAGGAUUAGAUACCCCGGUAGUC